rnacentral:rRNA from 1 species
UACGUAGGGUGCAAGCGUUGUCCGGAAUUAUUGGGCGUAAAGAGCGUGUAGGCGGCCCGGUUAGUCCGCUGUGAAAGUCCAGGGCUCAACCCUGGAAUGCCGGUGGAUACUGUCGGGCUAGAGUCCGGAAGGGGCGAGUGGAAUUCCUGGUGUAGCGGUGAAAUGCGCAGAUAUCAGGUGGAACACCCGUAGCGAAGGCGGCAUUCUGGGCCGAUACUGACGCUGAGGAGCGAAAGCGUGGGGAGCGAACAGG